AUCAGCCAGAGUCAGGUCAACAGCCAUGGCGGAAUCUAAAAGACAGGAGAGGAGGCUUAAGAAACGCCAAAAAGAAAAACAACAGCGAUACCAGAGUAUCUAAAAUAAAUAAAUAAGAAACUCAAAAGUUACACGGAAUUUUCCAGAGGUGUCAAAACGACAAAGGCAGGUGCGCUUGGUGCAGGUAACAAACAGCUAGCGCUAGCGUUAGCAUGUGGGUGCUAUUAGCAAAGACGAUGACAAACACAAAUACCAACAGUGAAGAAGACUAAAUACUGGCACUACCAGGGAGGGCGGACACGGACACAGAAACGGAAACAACUCUCUGAAAUACAUCCACAUCAGGGUUCCGGUCAGUACACAGAGGGGUAACUUCUCCAGGAGACUGAACAGGCCAAAGCGGCUGUAAGCAAAGGGGCAGGUACAGCCCUGACCUGGAUAGAUGGAGCCUUAACUGAUGGCACUGUUGGACCAAAGUGAAUCCCGAGACUUGGCAAAACACAGAUGCCGACCAGUCCUCCUCAGCAACGUCGGGACAUUUUUUGCUGCCAGGAAGCCGAGGACAGACACUUCUAUAGGUCACAGCGGUUGGUGAAGGAGAUAUGGAAAAGAAGAAGAGAGUAUGCAGGAGAGAGGAAGAAGAACAAAGCCACAGAAGGAAGAGAGAGAAGAGGAAAUUAUUCUGAGGGAUGAUGACGACGAUAAAGCCGAAGCAUGGAGUGAUGAAGAGGCAGAUGAAGACACCUCAUGCAUCCCAGCUGAUCAGCGCAGGCCUGGCGUGUUACGAUCUCAGAAUCCCCUGUCUGGGCUACAACGCACUCAGUGACGUCAGAGCCUCUUUGUAUGUGUGUGCAGGCCUCGCUGUCAGCCCCUGCAUGGCUCCGGAGGAGGUAGUGAUAUGGAGGGAGAGCGCGAGAGAGGCGGAGGUGGGAGCAAACAUGGACCAGGAGGAACCACUGUUGGGGCAUUGAGAGAAGCCCAGUACAGCAGGUGAAUGUGACCAGUCUUCGUGUAACUGCAGAUGGACACGCAGUGAGUGCACAUACACCACACAUUUGCAAAACUCAAACACGCACUGACAAAUGUUUCUUCCAUUCAAAUUCCUACUUAAACACACAGACAUCCACCCCACCCAAAACGGUGGCAGUAAACAGGUUUAGCUGAUAAAAUAGCAGUGUUCUCUUAAAAAAAAACAUGCAUAGAUUAGUACAUGAAUGUGUUGUUUGAAACCCACCAAGUUACUCUCUGCACAUUUUGAUCUUAUGCUUUGUCAAAAAAUUUACAACAUGGUUACAUUAUGUUUGUAUUUAACCAUUUAACCAUUACUAGCAAUCCUGUAAACUCGUUGGACUGUUAAGUAUAAUAGACUAUUGCAAACUAAUGUAGAAAGUUACAUUCUGAACCAGGAUAGGCUCUGUAAUAUAGGAAAUAAAUACUGAAAUGGCAAAAACACAAUAUUUAGUUACUAUUUUGGAAAGGACUGAUGACCACUCUUGGCCUAACCUUUCAGAUAUAAAAACACCUGCUUAGUAUUAGUUGUCCUGUAAUUGUGUCACAGUCAUCAUCCAAAUACUUGUUACUUAAUAAAAGUGUCCCACAGAAGAAUACAAAAUACGCACAAUGCCCAAAGCAACAAAAUAUGACAAUAAUUGCCUUCCAGACUUCCAAAGCAUUUGAAACAAAGGAAUGAUAAAUGAAUCAGGAGAGACUCUGUAGCGCUGCAUGCAUAUUCAUUAGAAGGUGCCACACAAAAAUGUUGUCAGAUUCCCUUAUUCAAGCUUAUUUCCCAAUAAGAUGAGGCCCUAAAAAUGUGCAUGUACUGUAUGUCGUUCAAAUUAUUGGACUCCCAAAACUUCUGAAGUUAGAAAAAUUGAAAACAAAAAGAAAAACACGGUGCUUCUUUUGUCCUUUGGUUACCGGGGCGACGCCUCGCUGCAAAUGUUUGCACAUUUUGUUCCUUUCACACAGUUGGGUAGUGUACAUUACCACAGGUGUUCUUCCAAACCUCAAGCAGCUAAAAUCUAAUAUUUUUAAGGGUUUAGCUUUAAAAGGGCCAAGCAGACACACACACACAAUCGGACGAGGAUACAGGAUUUUCCCCAUGUAGGCUAAUGCUGACCUACAGUACAAUAAGCUGGGCCUUCUGUUCACAGGAAGCCUCAAAGUACCCAAACUGCAUUGACAUUAUUCAUAUCACAAAAUCUAAUCCUGUGCCAAACAGGGCUUUGUGUCAUUCAAUACAACCUCUAAAAUAAUGUUUUAACGUGGAGCCUUUGCAACAGUUCUGUGUAGGGCCUGUACGUGCAAACUGCUUCUCUAAUAAUCAGACAUUAUUCAGCCUCAGAAAAUACAUUCAAACUGAGCUUUUUGAAAUUUCUAAUACAUUUUGACACUCACCCCUAAUCUUAAACACAAUUUAAAAAAAAAAUUAACAAUAAAUUCUCAACACAGAAAGAACGUCAAUGAAUAUACACACUCGAUGCUCAAAUGUGAUUUACAGAUGUAAAAGUCUUACAUGUAUAAUAGAAAAUAUACUUCAAAUCAAAACUUGUUCUCGUUUUAGUGACUGCAAAAAUCCUUCGUGUUUCACCCUUUUCUCUUUCCAAACCAGGUUUAACAUUUGGGAGGCAGACGGCAUCUGUACGUCACCUUAUCAAAGUUUGCCCACACCCCUAGAUAACUUGGCCAUCUUCCUGUGUGCACCUGCUUUUCCAACAUGCAACCCGGCACUGGAGAAACACAAAACAAGUCAUCUCCUCGGGCAUUAAGAACAAUCGGGAAUAUCAAAUAAAAAACUUAGAGGAGGAGGGCAUGCGGGAGUCGGAG